rnacentral:lncRNA from 1 species
AAAAUUAUCAAUGUCUGUCAUUUUAUGAGUAGUUUUCAGCUUUCGCCUUAAAUAUCGGAGUCGAACAGUUAUUCGUCAGUGUAGUCUCGUCGGUGUGAUCCAGAUAGGAGUGCUUCCAAAGCCAACCAGGCUCAGCUACUCAGGAGAAACGCUAACUCAAAAGACAGCUCAACACAACUUUAACUUGGAAUAUUUCGAACAUUUUGGACUU